rnacentral:rRNA from 1 species
CCUACGGGUGGCAGCAGUGAGGAAUAUUGGUCAAUGGACGAGAGUCUGAACCAGCCAAGUAGCGUGAAGGAUGACUGCCCUAUGGGUUGUAAACUUCUUUUAUAAAGGAAUAAAACGAGGCACGUGUGCCUUUUUGCAUGUACUUUAUGAAUAAGGAUCGGCUAACUCCGUGCCAGCAGCCGCGGUAAUACGGAGGAUCCGAGCGUUAUCCGGAUUUAUUGGGUUUAAAGGGGGCGUAGAUGGGUUGUUAAGUCAGUUGUGAAAGUUUGCGGCUCAACCGUAAAAUUGCAAUUGAUACUGGCAGUCGUGAGUACAGUUGAGGUAGGCGGAAUUCGUGGUGUAGCGGUGAAAUGCUUAGAUAUCACGAAGAACCCCGAUUGCGAAGGCAGCUUACUAAACUGUGACUGACAUUGAUGCUCGAAAGUGUGGGUAUCAAACAGGAUUAGAUACCCUAGUAGUC